CCCUCCCGCCGCUGACGUAGCCUUUCCUCAAUGGGCCACGCCACUAUCACUCAAUGUUGAACGCUCAUAGAGAGACAGGAAAAAUGACGCCUCACAUCGACCUCCUAAUCUCGCGAGAGUUUGCAGAGCUCGCUAACUAAUAUGACAAGAUGAGUGGAAGAGGGGAAAGACUCGUCGACCAUAGAGAUACGAAAGCUUAGCAGUUUAUUCAUCUCGAGAACCGACUUCCUGGUCACCUUUUCUGCUUUGUUCAUGAUGUUGAGACAAUGACAGAAUGAUGUGUUGUCGAAGGCUUUCAUGGCCGGAACCACUGGGGUGCCGUGAGUUUUCCGGGCUGUAUGGCCAUGUUCCAGAAGUGCCAGUUAAAAGCUCCCAAAAAAGGGUGUCCCCAAGCAACAACAGCCAGGCUUUGAAGCUGCAAAGCUAUUCAAUGCUAAUCAAGGUGACCAAUUGCAACAUUCACACCUGCCUCAAACAGACAAGAGUUUUAUUCUCCCACCCUGAACGUUCCACAGAUAUAUAAAUCCCACUUGCCUAGUUUCUAACAAACCUCACAACCUCUGGGCAUGCCUGACAUAGAUAUGGGCAAAACGUCAGGAGAAAAAGCUUCUGGAGCAUCGCCAUACAGCCCGGAAAACUCACAGCAACCCAAUGACAGUAUGUCUUUUGUUUAGUGUGUGUGUAUUUUAAAGCAAUUUGAUGUGCAGUAGAGUCUCACUUAUCCAACACUCGCUUAUCCAACGUUCUGGAUUAUCCAACGCUUUUUUGUAGUCAAUGUUUUCAAUAGAUCGUGAUAUUUUGGUGCCAAUUUCGUAAAUACAGUAAUUUCUACAUAGAAUUACUGUGUACUGAACUACUUUUUCUGUCAAAUUUGUGGUAUAACAUGAUGUUUUGGUGCUUAAUUUGUAAAAGCAUAACCUAAUUUGAUAUUUAAUAGGCUAUUCCUUAAUCCCUCCUUAUUAUCCAACAUAUUCACUUAUCCAACGUUCUGCUGGCCCGUUUAUGUUGGAUAAGUGAGACUCUACUGUAUUUAUUUUAUCCGCUUUUGAAAAACUGGAAAGCGUAUCAGUCCAUCGCCAAGCUGAUAUGGGAGGUUUUUUUGACAAUGCAAGGGGGGGGGGGGAGGAAGUAUUUGUAAUGUGCUUUAAUGCAAAGGGUUUUCAGGGACCUGAUUCUAAUGUAUAACUUGCCACCAGCAAACAUCUAGAAUGAUGAAACUGCCAAGAAAGUUUUGAAGGUUGGGAGAAAAAUGCACAUGGCUCAUUAGCUACCCAUUGCCUAAACUGUUGGGGUAAAGAAUAAGAGUGUUACUCAACUGCUAUAUUGCAUAUUCUUUUAGUCAAUCUAGGAGAAAGGUCACAUUUCAUUUGCAGUCGAGUUAACAUGCGGAGUUACUAUAAUUAGAUAUUAAAGUAGCUCCUUUUGGUGCCGGGGCUCAGAAUUUCUUAAAUGCAUAAAGUGUUUCAUCAAGCAUGUCACUUCAGUCCAUAUCAUCAAAAAAUUAUUUCGUGCUCCUACAGUCUCUGCACUCCUUCUGAUGUCAAAAGUAAUUUAUUUAUUGAAUUCUGCAGGCCAUAAAAAUGCAGAAUCCGAAGACAGAAAUAGGUCACAAAAGAUUAUACUAGCUUAUGUAUGCUAUCUGAAUUAUGUGGAUCUACCAUUAAGAACCAGAAGCGAAUACAGUACUCCAUUACAUUCCCACAUGUUUAAUUUAUAGACACUUAAGGCAAAAUUAAGCCCCACUUAGCAUCUAUCCCUUUAGAUGUUAACAUUAGAUUUAAGGUUCAUCCCACAAAAGACAUGGAUCCGGCAUCCCGUUUUCUGAGAUGUCAGUACCAUAACGAUAGUCAGGACAUGCAAGUUGAGGUGUCACAGAGAUAGGCAGGUUUGGACAUAGGCUGGAACUAUUCCUGAAUCAAGGCAUAAAGGACCUUAAGGACAAUCCCAUUACAUGGGAGCAAAUCCUGACCAUAUGGUCAUCCAGAAUGAGCAGGGGUAAAAUAUCAAAGCAGUUUCUGAUAGGUUCCAAAAUGUGCCCAAUAGCCAAUGCAGUUGUCACCAUUCCUGCCAGGGCUGACAACUUGUGUAACAUUGCCUAUAUCACACAUGGCAUAGGGUUUUUCCAGAACCUAUUCUGCCUUGCUGAUGGGAUUUAUGGAGAGCCCACUGCCAGCUCUUUUUAGUCACUGUUGCUGUGUUUUGUACAAGAAGGCUCACCAGUCAUUCUACUUCUUGUCUUGCCCCAUAGUGCAUGGUGGACAAUCUACUUACAAAAACCAAGCAACCAGAAUUUAAAAAGACCAUCCAAAAGAACAACCUGAAUAAAUUACACAUCAAGCUAACCCCAGCAGAAAAGGAGAUCCCUCAAAAACAGUUCUAAUUGAACAGCAAUUGGUCUGAAGUUUUCAAAGCCGAUUUAAAAGAUAAUAAGGAGCCACUGCGUUUGGUGGGGACGAGAGAGAGGGCCUUCUUGGCCGUGGCCCCCCGAUUCUGGAACUCCCUCCCCAGGGAGAUUAGGUUGGCUCCCUCUCUAUCUUCCUUCAGGAAACAACUGAAGACUUGGAUGUUUCGGCAGGCCUUCGGAGAUACAGUCAUUAAUUAAUCAGCCCCAGAGGGUUUUUAAUAAUCCAUCCUGUAUUUAUUAUGGUCUUACCAUUUAUGUGUUUUAAAUGCAAUUUUUUAUAUUGUAUUGUUGUUUUAAUUGAUAUAUUUUACUACUGUUUUAUCUUUUUUAUAUUGUGAUUUGUAUUAUGUUGCUUAUAUUUUGUCCUUAUUUUGUUUGGGCCGCUGUCCCAUGUAAGCCGCCCCGAGUCCCCACAGGGAGAUGGUGGCGGGGUAUAAAGUUUUAUUAUUAUUAUUUUAUUAUUAUUAUUAUAUGUAUAUCCUAUUGGAGGGUGGUUCCUAAGAUGUCAAAGCCAACACUGAAAAGGCCCUACCCCUAAUGCUCACCAAACCCAUAGAUCAUGGCUUCAUGGUUAUGAAUAAGACCACUGGCUCCAGUUUUAAUGCUUGGGCAGUUUUGUAUACAGUCAUUGAAAUAAAACUAGCUGGCUUUGUAUUUAAUCAUUACAAAAUUUAUGGUAGUACAAUGCAAACAUAACUUAUGUUUUAUUGUGAACGUCAUCUACUCUUACCGUCGCAGUUUUGAUUUGAGACACAUAUAUUUAGGAUUUUAAAGACUGUUGGUUACUUGUAUUGUAUCCAAAUAAAUAGGAACAGAUCCGAAAUAUGGUGUUCCCUUACUCACAGCACAAAAAUUUAGGUUGGUGCUAACAGCAGGUCUUUGCCACGUUUCCACUUCUGCAAAUCGAAGCAAAACAUUUAUAGAUUUGGUUUCAUUCCACUUUCAUGCAUGCAAUACAACACCUCUCAUGUGCAAAAAGGCACAUUUGGAUCCACACAUGUCCUUGAAAUAAUUUUUGCUAUUGGUUUUAACCAAAUCAUCCUGGGCAUCCUAAACCUUCUGAGGCAUUUCAAAUAAUUUUGAUUUGCUGUGAUUGUCAUAAGAAUAAUUCAAAACUUGCUAUAUUUUUUGAUUUUUGGUUAUUCCUGAUCUUUUCUGAUAGCUACCAAGGCUUGCUUGUCAUACAGGUCCAGAGCCAAUUGCAGUGACUUUACAUCCAGAUCCUUCAGAACAGAUAAAUACUGAAUAAAUACAAACCAUCUCCCAUAUUCUUAGGAAUAUUCUUUGACAUCUUGUAUGCAAUUUGUGGUGCCUCCCUUUAAACUUGUCCUUCUAGGAAUCAUUUUUAGGACUAAGUUUUAGAAAGUAAGGAUGCUCCUCCUCUCAUUCUAGAGCAGAAAUGUAGUGAGAAGUUUAAAAAGUGAGUCAAGCUAUAACAUACUAAUAUCACUGUUCCCAGUUGUUUCUAGUGGUGUCAGAUCCCAAUCAAGAACCAAGUCAAAAUUAUGUAUCACAUAUAUGUAUGUACCUUCAAGUCACCUGUUGAUUUAUUGCAAUUGCAUGAAUUUCACAGGAUUUUCUUAGGCAAGGAAUUCCAAUUCUUUCCUCCCAAAAUAUAGGUGACUAUACGUGGGAUUCAGUGGUGGUCUCCUAUCCAAGUACUAACUAGGGCUGAACAUGCAUAGUUUCCAAGCUCAGACAGGAUCUGGUACCUUUAGGAUAAUUAGGCCCCAUACCGCAACAAAACACUGCAGAAAUUGAUCUAGUAGUGGGUUCAGAGAGUUAAGAGUUGAAAGAGUAAAGAUGCCACAAAUUGUUGUGUGCCUUCAAGUCACUUCUGACUUAAGGUGAUCCCAUAAUGGGUUUCUUGGCAAGAUUCAUUCAGAUGUGGUUUUUACUUAAACUUUUAGCUCGUAACUGUCUGAAUGCUCCCCCCCAGCUUUGUCUGUGAUAUUCUGAGUGCUUUUAUGUUAGCUGUUCGUUUAAUUCAGAGUUGAGAAAGUCUGAAGGCUGCAUCAAGACCAGAAAUGCUAAAUCCAAGCAACUAGUAGAAUGUAAAUAGUUUUGAUUUCUUAUGCUUUUACAUUUAAAAAAAACCUCUUGUUUUAGGGCUUUGUAACCUGUUUAAAAGAAUACUGCCACUCCUGGGACACUCCAAGUGUGGAAAAAUGCAAUCCUUAUUGUAAGCUCUGUGAAUUACUGGUUUGGUCUGGAAACUCUAAAGGAGAAAAAUACUCCCUUGUUUAGUCCAGAAAGAGCUAGAAACAAAAGGAGCUGUUUGCCAAGGAAAAUAAUUAAGCUCUUGUCAUUUUGAAUUAGGGGGAGUUCUAUUGAGGUAUCCUGGACCCAGCAGAGCAAUUCCUGUCCCACCUGGUAACAUUUUAGUCUUUUGAUAUUGUCAGGACCCAGGCUACAGAGCACCAAUAACCAUACGCAGAGACCAGAAUCUAUCUAAUAUCUUUAUUAAAGGAUUAUAUAAAGUCAAUAAAAGCAAGUGAAGAAUAUAGUUCAGAAGUAGACCUUCCAGGAAAGGUCAAAUAUAGUCCAGGAAAAUAAUGUCCAAUAUGUGAUAUUAGAGUCCAAAGUUGUAAUCCAAUAACCGAAACACACACUUUGCCAAGCAAAGUGUGGGGAAAUGACAGGGUCCUUUAGUCCAAUGGAGCUUGGCAACAAUGCUGGAAGCAAACUAGAUUCUUGGCAAACAAGGCUUGAUACGUGGCAGCAAGAGGCAAGAAACAAGAACAAGGUCCGUGGCGAGGUCCGUGGAAACAAGGAAAGCUUGAUGCUAGAACAAGGUCCGAGAAACAAGGCUUGGAACUUGGUCCUGGAGGCAAGGGACUGGAGUAGCGUAGUCCACACACGAUCUCACUCCACAAGGUGACGAAUUGACUCCGCAAGGAUUUCUUUGCGGGCAAACACCUAUAUAGGAUCUUGUUUUCCCGCCAAGGAACACUUUCCCUGGGGAACAAGAAACGAAACCCAUACUGUGUCCAGAUGCAUGACUCCUUAAAGUUUCCCAAGGGAAACAGACUUAAUCAGCUAAAUGUCUGGCAGCUAUCCUGGCGCUCCUGCGAGUCGCCUCCCGAGUGCCUCUAUCUCGAUUAUAAUAAUCCCGGCGAGAAAAUGGGGGAGAUUUCUGCUCAAGGCUUGUUUGGCUGACUUCUGGUGGGCAAACAUCUUGCAGGUGCAAGGGCUCCAAUUCUGGCUGAAACGGUGGGAAACCCAAGUUUUCCUCUUCAUCUGCCACAAUAGUACUGGGAACGGGACUACAUGGCCCAUGAGUCAUCACAGAUAUCCAAAUAAAAACCCAUUGACUGCAGGUUUGCAGAGGCAAUGAUUGCUCCAGGUAAGUGCAGCAAUAAUCAUGUUAUUAUCUACAGAGUCAAAAGGAGAGCAAGGGCAAAUCUCAACUUCCCAGACCUCCUCAGCUCAUUAAAUGUUAACUGAAGCAGUGUUGAGGGAAUAUAAUCAGAUUUAGACAAAGGAAACAUCCUCUAAAAUUGAAAUUUGCUUGCAUCAUAACACUGCAACAUACACUAGACCUGUUGUGAAUGGGUCUUCUGAGGCUGUGAGUGAUAAUGGUGGGAUCAGGAGAGGAAGGAAGAACCCUCGCGAGGAGGGCUCGCUGGAAGAUUUACACAGGAAGAGAAUCAGGGAGAUUGAUGAGGAGUCUUCCGAAGAGGAUUCAUGUGGGGACUUGGGAGAGGAUCUUGAGGUGGAAAUGGAUGCUGAGGAACGGUGAUGACGGAGGAAGUUGGCAUAGAUUGGGCACGGGCUCCGGAGGAUCUUGGGGAGGAAUCUGGGUCCAUGGAUGCUGUAGAUGCUGGAGAGGCUUGGGUAUCUUCAGAAGCAGAUCCCACAUGGUCUGCCUGGAGAAAUGAGGGUAGUUCCACAGGUGUGGACAGGAUGAUCUUGAUUCUGAUGAGGAGUUUGGGACGCCUGAUCCUAGGGCGUUGGCUGUUUGGAACUCAGAUUCUGAUGAGGAACUUGGGACACCUGAUCCUAGGGCGUUGGAAGUUUAGUCCAAGGGAACCUAAAUAAAUUGGGGAUGUUUGGCCACUAUUCUUUGCGUGUGGCAAGGUGUUUCUGGGCGCCAUUGGGUUUCCUGUACGUGAUUCUGAAGACUGGCUUGGGACUUUGCAACAGAUGUAAGUUUGAUCCGGGUUAUUCUUAAACGGAGGGCUGGAAUUGUGUGGGUUUUCCUGGACUGCACUGUUAUUUCUAUUUUGCAUUAGCUGCUGUUCGCCUUCGUUGUCUUGGCUUUUUGUGCCAUCCUGUGACGUGGACCCUCUUGUGACGACUUCACCCUUUGGACCUUGGACUGAAUUUCGACUUGGCUUAUCUCUUCGCUCCCAAACUCAGCUUGGCAUCGUUCUCAUCUCCGUGGUUGUCUACUGUUGAUGACUGCUGGCUUCGUUCCCGACCCUGACGCUGUUUCCUUGUCCCGACUUCGGACCAGCUCGACUACGUUACAACGCUCCGCUCCUUUAACUCCUGGCUUGGCUUUCGCCUCUGCAGCAGCUUGCUGCUAACUCCUCAGCGUCUUCCAGUUUCGCUUGUUUUUGCCACUCACAGCAAAGAACUUUUAGCUCGGUUUGGGUUUUUGCUUCAGUUUGGAAUCGCUGUUGUACUCCUGGGUUUUGGGGAAGUUUUGGGGGCUUCAUAGCUGUUUACCUUUGUUUGUUUUGCCAUUUUAAGCCUGUUUUGAGUUUUUGGGCUGUGUUCAAGUACUUUAUGUUAAAUCCGGAUUAUAUCUCUGAUUAAUCUGGAUUAUAUGCCAGUUCAUGUUUUUGGCGUUUUUCCUAUUUUGACUGCUUAAUAACACUGAAGAUUAAGUGUUUUAAGUCCCUGAUAAUUUACUGAGCUGUUUUUGAGUUAUUACUUAAAUAAACUAUAUUUUGCUCUCA